rnacentral:rRNA from 1 species
GACGAACGCUGGCGGCGUGCUUAACACAUGCAAGUCGAACGGAGUGGCGAACGGGUGAGUAACACGUGGGUGACCUGCCCUGCACUUCGGGAUAAGCCUGGGAAACUGGUUCUAAUACCGGAUAGUGUGUGAUGGGCCCGCGGCCUAUCGGCUUGUUGGUGGGGUAAUGGCCUCCCACGGCGGCGCCGGGUAGCCGGCCUGAGGGGGUGGACAGCCACAAUGGGACUGAGACACGGACCAGACGGCUACGGGAGGCAGCGGGGGGGAGUAUGGCACAAUGGGCGGAAGCCUGAUGAAGAGACGCGGGGUGGGGGAUGACGGCCUUCGGGUUGUAAACUCCUUUCACCAUAGACGCGGUAGAUGGAGAAGAAGCACCGGCUAACUACGUGCCAGCAGCCGCGGUAAUUC